AGUCUGACCUGCCCUAUGAAAAUUUUAAAUGGCCGCGAUAUUUUGAUCGUGCAAAGGUAGCAUAAUAAUUAGUUUUUUAAUUGGGAACUGGAAUGAAAGGUCGAACGAAAAAAAACUGUCUCAAUUUAACUUUAAUUAGAAUUUUAUAUUUAAGUAAAAAAGCUUAAAUAUUUUUAAAAGACGAGAAGACCCUAUAGAGUUUUAUAUUAAAUAACAAAUUUUUAAGUUUAAGAAUUUAAUUUUAAAAUUAUUAGUUUAAUAUUUGGUUGGGGUGAUUAAAAAAUUUAAUAAACUUUUUUUAUUUAAUUUAAAACAUUGAUUUAUGAAAAAGUGAUCCAUAUUUUAUGAUUAAAAGAUUAAAUUACCUUAGGGAUAACAGCGUAAUUUUUUUUGAGAGUUCUUAUCGAAAAAAGAGUUUGCGACCUCGAUGUUGGAUUAAAAUUUACUUUUGGUGUAGGGGCUAAAAAGUUAGGUCUGUUCGACCUUUAAAAUUUU
rnacentral:rRNA from 1 species